rnacentral:rRNA from 1 species
UCAAGUAUACCCUGCCCAAUGAUUUUAAAUGGCCGCAGUAUUUUAACUGUGAAAAGGUAGCAUAAUAAUUUUCUUUUUAAAUGGAAGAUGGAAUGAAAGGGUGAACGAAUUAUUAGCUAUUUAGUUUUAUUUAAUAAAAAUUUGACAUUUGGGUUAGAAGGCCUAAAUUUUUUAAAGGGACAAUAAGACCCUGCAAAGCUUAAUUAAUAUUUUUCUGAGAUUUAGGUUAGGAAGAAAAUAUUAAUUUAGCUGGGGAGGUUUAUUAAAAUUAAAAACUUAAAGUAUGUUAACAUAUUGAAUGAUGUAUAGAGACUAAAAUCUUAUAAAAAGUAAAAGCUACUUCAGGGAUAACAGCAUAAUAAUUAUGGAGAGUUCUUAUCUAUAUAAUUGUUUGUGACCUCGAUGUUGAAUUGGGUGUAUCUGAUAAAAGCAUGAAUUUAUAAAGAAAGUCUGUUCGACUUUUAAAUACCCA